GGCAAGACCUCCUCAUCCGUCUUUUCAUGGUGGCGAAGGGGAAGCAGUGGCUAUGGAAGCAGAUCAGGAUCUGGUGUGCUUUGAGGAUGUCACUGUUCAUUUCACGGACGAGGAGUGGGCAUUGCUGCAUCCUGACCAGAGAGCUCUGCAUAAGGAGGUCAUGGAGGAGAAUCGUGGACUCCUGGAUUCUCUGGGGGAUGGUGAAAUGGAAAUUAAUAACAAGGGUGACCAA